rnacentral:rRNA from 1 species
CCUACGGGUGGCAGCAGUGAGGAAUAUUGGUCAAUGGGCGCGAGCCUGAACCAGCCAAGUAGCGUGAAGGAUGACUGCCCUACGGGUUGUAAACUUCUUUUAUAAAGGAAUAAAACGUUCCACGUGUGGGAUUUUGUAUGUACCAUAUGAAUAAGGAUCGGCUAACUCCGUGCCAGCAGCCGCGGUAAUACGGAGGAUCCGAGCGUUAUCCGGAUUUAUUGGGUUUAAAGGGAGCGUAGGUGGAUGGUUAAGUCAGUUGUGAAAGUUUGAGACUCAACCGUAAAAUUGCAGUUGAAACUGGCAGUCUAGAGAACAGUAGAGGUGGGCGGAAUGCGUGGUGUAGCGGUGAAAUGCUUAGAGAUCACGAAGAACUCCGAUUGCGAAGGCAGUUCACUGGACUGCAACUGACACUGAGGCUCGAAAGUGUGGGGAUCAAACAGGAUUAGAUACCCUGGUAGUC